rnacentral:antisense_RNA from 1 species
CUAACUCAUAGCCCUGUAUUUUGCUAAGUUUUUCCUCUACUCUUGAGUCCCCCUUUAAUCUAUAGAGUAUUAUUCUACACAGGACCUCUCUCUUAUUUUUUGGAGUCUAGCAUCUUGCAACUUCCUGGAGCCCCAACUAAACUCAUAACUUCUAAGCUUCUAAGAAAUAUAUGACGAGCUCCAUGAGGGCCAAGGCUGUCCAUUCUUGUUCACCACUGCACACUCAGGAGCAUGCUGGCUGUGCUAAUUCUAUCCUCAACAGAAUAAUUGCUGACAAACUUUCUUGCCCAGAAAAUGUCUAUUGGAAUUAUGGAGUACAAAAAAACUACAAAAGCAGUGAAAAAAAAGAAGGAUGUUUUAUUUACAUGCUAUUUCAAAACCAUUGCUUUCUUGGUAUUGUAUGUCUCUGCAGGCCCAAUAUGGCACAUCUGCAUAAGAAGUUUAGAAUUGUUCCUUAUGUUUCCUUCUAACAAACACUGGUAUAUUCACUUGAAAGUGUAUAUUUUAUUCACUUCCAAAACAGUUAGCUCAUAAUUCGGAACACCGAGGUUUGCAAAAUGACUGAAGGAAAGUUUACCUAGACAAUAGUUGCCAGUUCUGCUGAGAAUUAUCACAGGCCCACAACAGCCGUGUGUUUUUCCAUACAGAUAUUCUAAUUUUUUUUUAUUAUGCAGCUAAUUUUUUUUUAGACUCAUGAAUAAAAUAGCAAGUCAGUCUGUGCGUAAGCAUAUGUUUAAAUCUACCAGGCGAAAUGUCUGGAAUCUUUUUGGUUAUUAAAAUUAAAAUUCAGAAUAAUGAAAGGCAUAUGCAACUUAUUGUAUUCCUUAUAUAACUUAUUUCAUCUAAUCCUCCAAAUAGCUAUACAACAUAUUUAUCCCCACCUUACAUAGA